rnacentral:tRNA from 1 species
GGGUGAUUAGCUCAGUUGGUUAGAGUGCCGCCUUCACACGGCGGAGGUCGCUGGUUCGAAUCCAGCAUCACCCACCA